rnacentral:rRNA from 1 species
GACAGAGGUCCCAAGCGUUAGGCGGAAUCACUGGGCUUAAAGCGUGUGUAGGCGGAUUUGUAAGUACCUUGUGAAAUCCCACGGCUUAACCGUGGAACUGCUUGGUAUACUGCUUAUCUUGGGCCACUUAGGGGUUACCGGAACAAACGGUGGAGCGGUGAAAUGCGUAGAUAUCGUUUGGAACGCCAAUGGUGAAAACAGGUAACUGGGAGUGUGCCGACGCUGAGACACGAAAGCGUGGGUAGCAAACAGG